CACGUAGGGGACGAGCGUUGUCCGGAUUCAUUGGGCGUAAAGCGCGUGUAGGCGGUCCGGUAAGUCCGCUGUGAAAGUCGAGGGCUCAACCCUCGAAUGCCGGUGGAUACUGUCGGGCUAGAGUACGGAAGAGGCGAGUGGAAUUCCUGGUGUAGCGGUGAAAUGCGCAGAUAUCAGGAAGAACACCGAUGGCGAAGGCAGUUCUCUGGGACGGUACUGACGCUGAGACGCGAAAGCGUGGGGAGCGAACAGG
rnacentral:rRNA from 1 species